CUUUUGUCUGGUUUUUUAGUUGCACUGAACUUUUAAUGACAGGUGAGAUGCCUUUAGUGAGAGUAUAAUGCUUAUACAGAAGAAUGAAGUUUCCUAUUAGCAACUACAAACAAUUUUUUAUUUUAUAGUUGGACAAUCUGAAGUCAAGAAUUCAACUGAAGAAGCAAAAUGGAUUUGCUUGCAGUGAGACGAAGACGUGGAGGAAAUCCUGUGCUGAUGAGGUUGCCAUCUCCCUACAUGAGAAUGAGCCAGAGUAUGAACUAGACGGACUCCCAGAGGUGGUGAAAAAAGGGUUUCCUGCUAUUCCUAUUGUGAAAACCGACCCUUACAUUUUGUGCAGAACAACUUUUAACCUAAGGACCAGUCCCCGUCUUGCUGCCCAAAGCCAAAAAUUGUCACCCGGUUC